UCUGGGGCACAAGGCAAUCUGUUUGAAGAAGGCGUCGAAUAGACCUACCACAGAUAAAACAAGAAUUUCUCAUUUCAACAGAAAGCUCAAGAAUGAAGAAAAGCUGGCACUGAUAUAUACUCGGAGCCUGAGGACUUAGCACGAGGCAGAGCUACACUAGACUCUAAGCCAGUGAUGUCAGAUUCUUAAAAGAUAUUCACGGGAAAGGAAAGAAAGGAGAUGUCCAGAUAAUGAUGACAAAAAAAGCAAAGGC
rnacentral:lncRNA from 1 species